UACGUAGGGGGCUAGCGUUGUCCGGAAUCAUUGGGCGUAAAGCGCGUGUAGGCGGUCCGGUAAGUCCGCUGUGAAAGUCGGGGGCUCAACCCUCGAAUGCCGGUGGAUACUGUCGGGCUAGAGUGCGGAAGAGGCGAGUGGAAUUCCUGGUGUAGCGGUGAAAUGCGUAGAGAUCGGGAGGAACACCAGUGGCGAAGGCGGCUACCUGGACCAGCACUGACACUGAGGCACGAAAGCGUGGGGAGCAAACAGG
rnacentral:rRNA from 1 species